rnacentral:rRNA from 1 species
UAUGAGAGUUUGAUCCUGGCUCAGGACGAACGCUGGCGGCGUGCCUAAUACAUGCAAGUCGUACGCUUCUUUUUCCACCGGAGCUUGCUCCACCGGAAAAAGAAGAGUGGCGAACGGGUGAGUAACACGUGGGUAACCUGCCCAUCAGAAGGGGAUAACACUUGGAAACAGGUGCUAAUACCGUAUAACAAUCGAAACCGCAUGGUUUUGAUUUGAAAGGCGCUUUCGGGUGUCGCUGAUGGAUGGACCCGCGGUGCAUUAGCUAGUUGGUGAGGUAACGGCUCACCAAGGCUACGAUGCAUAGCCGACCUGAGAGGGUGAUCGGCCACAUUGGGACUGAGACACGGCCCAAACUCCUACGGGAGGCAGCAGUAGGGAAUCUUCGGCAAUGGACGAAAGUCUGACCGAGCAACGCCGCGUGAGUGAAGAAGGUUUUCGGAUCGUAAAACUCUGUUGUUAGAG